rnacentral:rRNA from 1 species
UACAGAGGUGGCAAGCGUUGUUCGGAAUUACUGGGCGUAAAGGGCGCGUAGGCGGUCUUGUAAGUCUUGUGUGAAAUCCCUCGGCUCAACUGAGGAACUGCACGGGAUACUGCGAGACUUGAGUUCGGGAGAGGGAAGCGGAAUUCCUAGUGUAGAGGUGAAAUUCGUAGAUAUUAGGAAGAACACCAGUGGCGAAGGCGGCUCACUGGAUCGGUACUGACGCUGAGGUGCGAAAGCGUGGGGAGCAAACAGG